GAGGUGUUGCCACAAGGUGUAGAGGAGGGAAGCGGCAGGUGCCGGCAACACCUUCACCUGCCCGUGUGACCGUGCCUGCCUCCGGCCCCAGACCAGCGGUGCAGCAGGUGGAGGCGACAGCCCAGGAGUCGUCCAGCGUGGUGCCAGGGGUGGUCGUCGUCCGGGAGGAGGUUGCCGCAGCGUG